rnacentral:rRNA from 1 species
AACGAACGCUGGCGGCAUGCCUAACACAUGCAAGUCGAACGAGACCUUCGGGUCUAGUGGCGCACGGGUGCGUAACGCGUGGGAACCUGCCCUUAGGUUCGGAAUAACUCCCCGAAAGGGGUGCUAAUACCGGAUAAUGUCUUCGGACCAAAGAUUUAUCGCCUUUGGAUGGGCCCGCGUUGGAUUAGCUAGUUGGUAGGGUAAAAGCCUACCAAGGCGACGAUCCAUAGCUGGUCUGAGAGGAUGAUCAGCCACACUGGGACUGAGACGCGGCCCAGACUCCUACGGGAGGCAGCAGUGGGGAAUAUUGGACAAUGGGCGAAAGCCUGAUCCAGCAAUGACGGGUGAGUGAUGAAGGCCUUAGGGUUGUAAAGCUCUUUUACCCGGGAUGAUAAUGACAGUACCGGGAGAAUAAGCUCCGGCUAACUCCGUG